CAACCUCAGGUAUUUUGCGAUUCUGUAAUUUAAUGUGCCCAGCACAGUUAGACUGGGUGUUAAACUUACAUCGGUGAAAAAUUUCAUAGGAAUGUACAAUCACAGAAUGGUUUGAGUUGAAAGAGACCAUAAAAAUCACCUCAUUCCAAACCCUUGCCAUGGGCAGGGACACCUUUCACUAGACCAGGUUGCUCAGAGCUGCAUCCAACCUGGCCUUGAACACUUCCAGUGAUCAACUGCUUUCUUAGGAAUAUAUUGUAAGUACUCAAAAAAUGCUUUCUAAUUUCUCUUUCUAGGUGACCAGGAGGCUAGAGCUAAGGCUCACACCUUUGACUUUCCCAUCCCUUCAAAACAUGUUGAUAAAGCCAUAAAACGAAAGAAGAAAAAGUCCAAAGUCUGGCAUAAGGUCUGGAAAGUCAUUUCAAAAAUGCUUGAAGAAAAUGAAAGGUUCAGAAGUCGACUGUUGGCCUGCAGUCAGCUGGAUGGAGAAGGCUCUGGUGUGAACCAAACUUCACAGGAUGGGGCAUACCUGGACAGGGUAUGUAUACAGUCCAUUAACUGCCAAGCAAGCUUAAAUACUAAAAGAAAUAAAUUAAUAUUAAAAGAGAUGCAUUGAUCUUGUUUAAUGUUAUAAUAAUAAUUGCCAGUUAGAAAAUUAAGUAUUAUUGACAUUGAACUCAAUUUUUUUUCAAGAUUUCAAUGGUGUUUGGGGACUAGAACAGCUCCAUCCUCACAGGAAGGACUGUAUGCUUUGCCAAGGUGGGGAGGUGGAUUUUGUCCUAUUAUUGUGCUAAAUCCUAAAGUAAAAUCUGAGGAAUCUGAAUAUUCUUUAUUUGACACACUUUAAAUGGAGACUUUUUUUCUAUUGAAGGGAAUGCACCACUUCACUUUUGUCACUUUUUUCUCCAGGAGGAGUCCAUCUUUGGCUGGGUGUAGCAAGAAAAUAAAGGAAGAUUCAGUUGAAAAGGAAAUGUGAAA
rnacentral:lncRNA from 1 species